CAGUCGCCGCGGGAAUACGUAGGGUGCAAGCGUUAAUCGGAAUUACUGGGCGUAAAGCGUGCGCAGGCGGUUAUAUAAGACAGAUGUGAAAUCCCCGGGCUCAACCUGGGAACUGCAUUUGUGACUGUAUAGCUAGAGUACGGCAGAGGGGGAUGGAAUUCCGCGUGUAGCAGUGAAAUGCGUAGAUAUGCGGAGGAACACCGAUGGCGAAGGCAAUCCCCUGGGCCUGUACUGACGCUCAUGCACGAAAGCGUGGGGAGCAAACAGGAUUAGAUACCCCGGUAGUCCCUGUCUCUUAUAU
rnacentral:rRNA from 1 species